GUCUUGGCUCUGGCUGAACAAGUCUGAGACCAACCAUUUUCUUGAAUGUUUUAGAAGGGUGACCAGGAGUGGCCUUAAGAUUUAAACCAAGCUGCAAUUUUAAUUAAGGAAAAACUUCUGUUUCUCAAUCCUAGAGUGAUAAUGUCAUCUUAGUCUCCAACAUCUGUGUGCUGGACAGAAACUGAGAUUCCUAGAUGUGUCUUGGGUGCACCAUGUCUUCACCAUAGCACAAUGACACGUUUAAGCCUUAAAAAUGAGGGCUGACAUCUUGAAGACCAACAUCAUCAUCUGUGGAAGCUCAGGCCAAAAGACAAGAGUUGCAAGAUCACUAACUUGUGUAACAAUACGUUUUCCUAUGUUCGAAUAAUAAAAAAGCUGCAAUUACUUUUAAUUAA